rnacentral:rRNA from 1 species
CUAAGCUACUAAGUGCAUAUAGUGAAUGCCUUGGCUGAGACUGUCGAUGAAGGACGUGGUAAGCUGCGAUAAGCGUCGGUGAGGUGCAAACAACCUUUGACCCGGCGAUUUCCGAAUGGGGUAACCCCGUAACAAGUAAUUGUUACGAUCCGAAAGGAAGGCAACCUAGGGAAGUGAAACAUCUCAGUACCUAGAGGAAAAGACAUCAACCGAGAUAUCGAAAGUAGUGGCGAGCGAAAUCGAUAUAGCCUAAACCAGUGUGCUUGCACACUGGGGUCAUAGGACUACAUUAGUAGAGUUAUCAAUCAAAAAAUUAGCUGAACGGUCUGGAAAGACCGACCAUAGAAGGUGAUAGUCCUGUAUGCGAAAAUUUUUUGACUCGAAGUAGUAUCCUGAGUACCAUCGAGCACGUGAAACUUGGUGGGAAGUUAGGGGGACCACCCUCUAAGGCUAAAUACAUGUCUCAGACCGAUAGUGAACCAGUACCGUGAGGGAAAGGCGAAAAGAACCGCGGGAGCGGAGUGAAAUAGAACCUGAAACUGUAUGCAUACAAGCAGUUCGAGGGUUAUGCCGGGAGCUUCGGCAACCGGAAAGCCUGAGAGCGUGCCUAUUGAAGAAUGAUCCGGCGAGUUAAUUGGUAGGUGCAAGGAUAAGUGUUAAGUGAAAGCUUGUCACGUAUCCGUAGCGAAAGCAAGUUUGAAAGGGCGUUAGUACCUAUCAUUAGACCCGAAGCCAAGUGAUCUAUGCCUGGACAGAGUGAAUUCCCUUUAACCGGGGAAGGAGGCUCGAAGCGUCGACCGUUGAAAAGGUCUUGCAUGAGCUGGGUAUAGGGGUGAAAGGCCAAUCUAACUUGGUGAUAGCUGGUUCUCCUCGAAAUAGUUUUUGGACUAGCCUAGUACGUUAAGUCUGAGAGGUAGAGCACUAAAUAAUCUAGGGGGUGUAACCCACUUUCCGAAGUUAAUUAAACUCCGAAUUCUCAGAUGUAUUAUACUGGAGUCAGUUUGUGAGGGAUAAGCUUCACAUGCAAAAGGGAAACAGCCCAGACCACCAACUAAGGUCCCUAAAUAUAUACUAAGUGGUACAAGGAAGUGGAAUUUCUUAGACAGCUAGGAGGUUGGCUUAGAAGCAGCCACCCUUUAAAGAGUGCGUAACAGCUCACUAGUCAAGUGAUUCUGCACCGAAGACACCCGGGGCUCAAGUAUAUUACCGAAGUUGUGGAUUUUAUAGCAAUAUAAAGUGGUAGAGGAGCGUUCCCACGACACUGAAGAUGUACCGAAAGGAGCAUUGGAGUUGUGGGAAGUGAGAAUGUCGGAAUGAGUAGCGAUAAAAGAGGUGAAAAUCCUCUUCGCCGAAAACCUAAGGUUUCCUUGAGUAAAGUUCGUCUGCUCAGGGUCAGUCGAUCCUAAGCCGAGGGCGAAAGCCGUAGGCGAUGGGUAUCAGGUUAAUAUUCCUGAACUACCUUUAGUGGGUUAAUGUGUUUAGCUACGCUUUCCAGUAGAUCAUCAUCUCAUUGGUUGUAGAUGUUGCCUCGCAAGAGGGAGGAUUUGGAGCAAUCCGAAGAACUGAUCGUAUGGAGAGCCAAGAAAAACCUAAGCACUGCUUCUGAAGGUAAACGUACCGUAAACGGACACACGUAGGUGGGGUGAAAAUCCUAAGGCGCGCGAGAUAACUUUCGUUUAGGAACUCGGCAUAUUGGCCCCGUAACUUCGGGAUAAGGGGUGCCUAUAGCAAUAUAGGUCGCAGUGAAAUGGCCCUCGUGACUGUUUAACAAAAACAUAGGUCUCUGCUGAAAUCACAAGAUGAUGUAUAGGGACUGACACCUGCCCGGUGCUGGAAGGUCAAGGGGAGAUGUUAGCGCAAGCGAAGCAUUGAACUUAAGCCCCAGUAAACGGCGGCCGUAACUAUAACGGUCCUAAGGUAGCGAAAUUCCUUGUCGGGU